rnacentral:misc_RNA from 1 species
AAGUCGUAACAAGGUUUCCGUAGGUGAACCUGCGGAAGGAUCAUUACCGAGAGCGAGCGAAAGCGAGCGAAUCUUUUAACAUGUUGCCGCGUUGUUGGAGAGUGGUGAGUGAUGGUAGUAGUCAUCAUCACUAUUCUGCCAUUUUUUAUUUUUACACGCACCAUGGACAUGGACAUGAUAUGAUCAUUGAUCACGAUAUAUAUAAACAAACAACUUUUAACAAUGGAUCUCUUGGCUCUU